CUCUUUCUCAUUGUUAGCUAGAUC
rnacentral:snRNA from 1 species